GUCGUUUCCGCUUUGAGGAGAGAAGGUGGAGACUCACCAGCUGGUUUCUUCCUUUUGCAGCUUUCAUACACUGUGCCUCACAUUUCCUCACCUACGGAGAGAAAGCAGGGAAGGUUUAGACGCCGGCACGAACUAGGUGCUCAGAAGAAAAGGGUGUUGUGUGGAGAACAGGUGUUGCAGACGGAGGUGUUGCAGGUCACAGGUGUUGCAGACGGAGGAAGGUUGGGAGCCCUGUUAAACAUCUGCUAUCAAGAUGGAAGACCUGGGCCUUUGGUUACAAAUAACAGAAACCCAUCUCAACACAUAUAAGGAGCAAAGAAAGGCAUGCAUUGUUCACAUAACUUGGAAUUCCAGGGGUGGUGCUGGUUUCGAGUAUGAAUCAAGACAUUCAAAAAAGAC